rnacentral:rRNA from 1 species
GAUGAACGCUGGCGGCGUGCCUAAUACAUGCAAGUCGAGCGAACAGACGAGGAGCUUGCUCCUCUGAAGCUAGCGGCGGACGGGUGAGUAACACGUGGCUAACCUACCUAUAAGACUGGGAUAACUUCGGGAAACCGGAGCUAACACCGGACAAUAUAUUGACCCGCAUGGUUCAACAGUGAAAGACGGUUUUGCUGUCACUUAUAGAUGGAUCCGCGCCGCAUUAGCUAGUUGGUAAGGUAACGGCUUACCAAGGCAACGAUGCGUAGCCGACCUGAGAGGGUGAUCGGCCACACUGGAACUGAGACACGGUCCAGACUCCUACGGGAGGCAGCAGUAGGGAAUCUUCCGCAAUGGGCGAAAGCCUGACGGAGCAACGCCGCGUGUGUGAUGAAGGUCUUCGGAUCGUAAAACUCUUUUAGUAGGGAAGAACAAAUGUGUAAGUAACUAUGCACGUCUUGACGGUACCUAAACAGAAAGCCACGGCUAACUACGUG